rnacentral:rRNA from 1 species
AGGGGUAUAGUUCUUCGGAACUAGAGACCGGCGCACGGGUGCGUAACGCGUAUGCAAUCUACCUUUUACAGAGGGAUAGCCCAGAGAAAUUUGGAUUAAUACCUCAUAGUAUGUGAGAAUCGCAUGGUUUUCACAUUAAAGUUCCAACGGUAAAAGAUGAGCAUGCGUCCCAUUAGCUAGAUGGUAAGGUAACGGCUUACCAUGGCGACGAUGGGUAGGGGUCCUGAGAGGGAGAUCCCCCACACUGGUACUGAGACACGGACCAGACUCCUACGGGAGGCAGCAGUGAGGAAUAUUGGACAAUGGGCGCAAGCCUGAUCCAGCCAUGCCGCGUGCAGGAUGACGGUCCUAUGGAUUGUAAACUGCUUUUGUACAGGAAGAAACACUCCCUCGUGAGGGAGCUUGACGGUACUGUAAGAAUAAGGAUCGGCUAACUCCGUGCCAGCAGCCGCGGUAAUACGGAGGAUCCAAGCGUUAUCCGGAAUCAUUGGGUUUAAAGGGUCCGUAGGCGGUUUAAUAAGUCAGUGGUGAAAGCCCAUCGCUCAACGGUGGAACGGCCAUUGAUACUGUUAAACUUGAAUUAUUAGGAAAUAACUAGAAUAUGUAGUGUAGCGGUGAAAUGCUUAGAGAUUACAUGGAAUACCAAUUGCGAAGGCAGGUUACUACUAAUGGAUUGACGCUGAUGGACGAAAGCGUGGGUAGCGAACAGGAUUAGAUACCCUGGUAGUCCACGCCGUAAACGAUGGAUACUAGCUGUUGGGAG